CACAGCCGUCGGCGCCCGCCCAGGAAGCUCAGCUGGAGGACGCCACCAGGAGCCUCCACAAGGCCCUCGCCCUGGAAGGUCUGAGGGACUGGUACCUGAGGAACACGAUAGGCUCCACCCACCAAAACCGGGCCAACGGAAAGGUCAACACGGGAGUCAACACUAAGGCCAACGGGGGGGUCAAAGGUCAGGCUGGAGGGGGAGGAGCUCUGCACGGCAGACGGAGGACUCACGGCGGCAUCCAGCAGGCGACCUAUCAGACGGAGACGAGUCAUCACAAAAAGACGCUGCCGCAUUCGGCCACGUUCCACGGACACCCGCUGCACGGCAGGUCUGUGGAAAGCUCUCUCUACCAAGACUCAUUCCCUCCUCAGAAACAGGAAGACCAGCUAUCUCCUGGAACUCUGGUCUGACUCACCGACCAAUCAGGAAGCUGGAACUCUGUUUUCUGACUCACCGACCAAUCAGGAAGCUGGAACUCUGGUCUGACUCACCGACCAAUCAGGAGGCUGACGUACAGUGACACAGAGCCUAUCCCGGGCUGGCUUCCUGGGAUCAACGCCUCUCUGGAGUGCUGUUUGUCCUGCAGGUUCUUCAGGAGAACCAGGGGUUAUGUUUCCACCACUUGCUUCCCUCUCUCGUUUCUCAGUCCGUCCCACCAAGAAAGACGCAAGGAAAUCAUGCGAGGAGAGAGGGAACGAGGGAAUGUGUUUAUAGAGGGAUGAGACUUCCUUUCCUCUGAAGCGUCACGUGACUUUGUCAGCUGUGUGGGCGGAGUUAGCAACUCCUUCAGCUGCACGGC